rnacentral:rRNA from 1 species
AACGAACGCUGGCGGCAUGCCUAACACAUGCAAGUCGAACGAGACCUUCGUGUCUAGUGGCGCACGGGUGCUUAACGCGUGGUAAGCUGCCCUUAGGUUCGGAAUAACUCCCCGAAAGGGGUGCUAAUACCGGAGAAUGUCUUCGGACCAAAGAUUUAUCGCCUUUGGAUGGGCCCGCGUUGGAUUAGCUAGUUGGUAGGGUAAAAGCAUACCAAGGCGACGAUCCAUAGCUGGUCUGAGAGGAGGAUCAGCUACACUUGGAAUGCGACCCGGCCCAGAAUGGUACGGGAGGGAGCAGAAGAGAAUAUUGGAGAAGGGACGAUAGUGUGAUCACGCAACGCCGCGUGAGUGAUGAAGGCCUUAGGGUUGUAAAGCUGUUUUACCCGGGAUGAUAAUGACAGUAACGGGAGAAUAAGCUCCGGCUAACUACGUG